GAGGAACGCUAGCGAUAGGCUUAACACAGGCAAGUCGAGGGGAAACGGCAUUAUGUGCUUGCACAUUUUGGACGUCGACCGGCGCACGGGUGAGUAUCGCGUAUCCAACCUUCCCUUUACUUGUGGAUACCCCGUUGAAAGACGGCCUAAUACCCGAUGUAAUUCAUUGAUGGCAUCAGAUAUGAAUAAAAGAGUUAUCGGUAAAGGAUGGGGAUGCGUCUGAUUAGCUUGUUGGUGAGGUAACGGCCCACCAAGGCGACGAUCAGUAGGGGUUCUGAGAUGAAGGUCCCCCACAUGGAAACUGAGACACGGUCCAAACUCAUACGGGCGGCAGCAGUGAGGAAUAUUGAUCAAUGGGCGCAAGCCUGAACCAGCCAAGUAGCGUGCAGGAAGCCGGCGCUCUGGGUUGUACCCUGCUUCUAUACGCGACUCAUUUCAUGCACGUGUGCGUUCUUGCAGGUACCGGAUGAAUAAGGAGCGGCUAAUUCCGUG
rnacentral:rRNA from 1 species